GACGAACGCUGGCGGCGUGCCUAACACAUGCAAGUCGAACGAAGUGGCGAACGGGUGAGUAACGUGUAAUCAACCUGCCCUUCAGUGGGGGACAACAGUUGGAAACGACCGCUAAUACCGCAUACUGCAGGUGGGGAAUGCGUCUGAUUAGCUAGCGGGAAGGGUAACGGCCUACCAAGGCGAGGACCAGUAGCCGGGCUGAGAGGAUGACCAGCCAAGCUGGGACUGAGACACGGCCCAGACUCCUACGGGAGGCAGCAGUGGGGAAUAUUGCGCAAUGGGGGCAACCCUGACGCAGCCAUGCGGCGUGAGUGAAGAAGGCCUUCGGGUUGUAAAGUUCUUUCGGUAGCGAGCGGUAACUACAGAAGAAGCACCGGCUAACUCCGUGCCAGCAGCCGCGGUAAUUC
rnacentral:rRNA from 1 species